GAGGAGGCGGGAGCCGGGAAGGAGGGGAGCCGAGGCCCGGCGUGGGGAGGCCGGCAGGAAGGGCCUCGAGCCCAGUGCGGACCUUUCUUCAGCCUCUGUGCGACCGAGCCGCGCGCCAGGCUGCUGUGCGAGGAGGACGCGCUGACUCCCUCCGACCUGGGCUCCGAUGGAGCAGAAAUAGCGGGACCUGGACUUGUGGCGCGCCUGGUGCCACAUCUCGGGCUCUGCGAGCGUCCUGGCGCGGGAUCCUGCCGUUUGCAUCCAAGAGAGGGGAGGACAGGGGCAAAAGGAUGCAGGGAGGCUGCUGAUUUCCACUGAAGAGCUAAUUUCCUGUGAGACAUUAACAGUGAUUUAAGAAAAAGAUUCCUGUAACUGUAAUGUCUUACAAUAACAGAAUGCAGGAGAGCACAUAUCAAUGAAGAAAAGACAAAAUGUACUUAUCCAUGAAGCUGAGGUUAAGAAACCAGUGUCUUCAAGAGCCAGGGACAGCACUGGGUCUGUGCAGAGUUGAGAGAUGGUGAUGACAUGUGGUUUCCAGCAUUCCUCGCCCAGUCCAGGGACACUGUGGGUGUGCCCAGCUUAAGUCCAGUCCAGUAACUGGAAAUACAAGCCCAAGUUCUGGAGAGUUUGAGCUGCAGAGAUAUAUAUGGGAACACUUUGAACCUUGACUCAUUGGCCAUAACCAGUAGAGUGGAAAAUACAAGAAGAGAAAAAAACAUUGAACUGCGAUUUUAUAACAUCCUUUACUCGGCAGAGAGAAGAGGAAA
rnacentral:antisense_RNA from 1 species